GGGGAAUAUUGCACAAUGGGCGAAAGCCUGAUGCAGCGACGCCGCGUGAGGGAUGACGGCCUUCGGGUUGUAAACCUCUUUCAGCAGGGAAGAAGCGAAAGUGACGGUACCUGCAGAAGAAGCACCGGCUAACUACGUGCCAGCAGCCGCGGUAAUACGUAGGGUGCGAGCGUUGUCCGGAAUUAUUGGGCGUAAAGAGCUCGUAGGCGGUUUGUCGCGUCGAUUGUGAAAGCCCGGGGCUUAACCCUGGGUCUGCAGUCGAUACGGGCAGGCUAGAGUUCGGCAGGGGAGACUGGAAUUCCUGGUGUAGCGGUGAAAUGCGCAGAUAUCAGGAGGAACACCGGUGGCGAAGGCGGGUCUCUGGGCCGAUACUGACGCUGAGGAGCGAAAGCGUGGGGAGCGAAC
rnacentral:rRNA from 1 species